CUUUUUUUUUCUUUGAUUUUCUCUUUUUUUUUUCAACUGAGUGUUUCUUAUUCGGUGAGUGCUUUUCUCGUAUCAUCGAAGAUUUUUUUUCGAUGGUCGUUUUUCCUAAUUUUCCGCACUCACCUUAAUUUCAGAUACUGAUGGGGUUACCCCAAGCUUAGAAUUUAACACAGCUUAAAGCCAUAACAUUGACUCUGAACAGGGUAAGGAAGUGUUUGGGUCGAAGGUUACAUUCAUGUGGUUAUAUAAAC
rnacentral:lncRNA from 1 species